AAUAUACUCCCUCCGUCCGGAAAUACUUGUCAGAGAAAUAAAUGUAUCCAGAUGUAUUUUAAUUCUAGAUACAUCCAUUUUCAUCCAUUUAUGCGACAAGUAAUUCCGGACGGAGGGAGUACUAG
rfam:Triticum aestivum genome assembly, contig: Triticum_aestivum_CS42_TGACv1_scaffold_112333_2AS